UACGUAGGGGCAAGCGUUGUCCGGAAUUAUUGGGCGUAAGCGCGCGCAGGCGGUCUCUUAAGUCUGAUGUGAAAUCUUGCGGCUCAACCGCAAGCGGUCAUUGGAAACUGGGAGACUUGAGUACAGAAGAGGAGAGUGGAAUUCCAUGUGUAGCGGUGAAAUGCGUAGAUAUAUGGAGGAACACCAGUGGCGAAGGCGACUCUCUGGUCUGUAACUGACGCUGAGGCGCGAAAGCGUGGGGAGCAAACAGGAUUAGAUACCCGCGUAGU
rnacentral:rRNA from 1 species